ACUUAAUUAUACAGAUUAACUUAGCUCACCCGUGUACAUGGGCAAUUUGAACAACAUACACUUUAAUAGCACCAAAUGCAAGGUUAGACAGUCAGAGAUUCAGAGUUUAGGGUCAGAACCAUUAAGGACAACAGACCAUUACUUCCUUUAAUCUGACCUUGGGAGUAUUACGUCCUUUGAUUACAUCCAGUUUAUCCUCUUUGAGCCCAAUAAAAUGUUUAAUUAAAACAUAUGUUCUAGAAAGACAUUAGUUCUUGAUCUGAAGAUAUUGAUGGGCAGAAAAUCCACAAUUUCCUUCAGUAGUUUCUUCCAGUGAUUAAUGACCGUCACUCUUAAAAAUAUACCUGUAUAAUGUCAAAUGUAAAAAUUUGCAUUUGUCUGGCUUCAGUUUCUAAGCAUCUGUUCUUGUUCUGCUUUUCUCCUCUCAGUUAAAGUUCCCUUUGCUAUUCAGUAUUUUCUUUGGUGAAAGAGAAAGCAGAGGAUGGACUUUCAUGAGCUUUCUAGUUGACUGUCAGAGUGCAUUUUAUACCAUUCGUACUGAUUACCAUUGGAAUGAGUGUCUUUAGCUGGAAGGCAGGGCAGAGAUGUACCUUACAGGCUAACUAAAUCAGAGAUUCAUAAGCUUUCACAAGCCUGAGCUCACUUCAUCAGAUGCUUUGCCAUAAAAUAAGGCCUUAAAUAUCUUCAGGUCAGCAAUGAGAAUGAAAGAUCUGUAUCUAGACCAUCACAGCUCAACUUUCUUAAGCAUACUGUCAAUGCUAUAAAAAUGACCAUAAUUAAGGACUUCGGGGUUGAGAAUCUUGCUUUACUUGUUUCAUCUUGCAGAUAGAUUGAAGGCAGCACAUGUGGAAUUCAGCAAGCCUUCUAACACAAUAGCAAUUUCUAGUCCAUGUCACACCCAUAAAGGACCAUGACCAUCCACUAUUCAUUAGUUUAAUACUGCUCCCGUUCCAAAGGUGGUGUGUCAAUAUUCCAAAGGCAGAGCUGGCUUUGACUAUGCAGUGGGUAUCUCAUCUCUUCAUCAUUUAUAGUAUAUUGUUACACCAUGCUCCCUAUGUAUUAAAUCCUCUCCUGGAAUCAAGAAGUGUUGUUAAUUGUAAUAAACAGAUGUGUGCAGUACUUCAGUUUUCUUUAUGCUGAUCACAAAACAAACCAUGCUUGGCUACACAAGCAAACCGACUGAUGGAAUGAGAGUGACUUGAGUGUGCUUACUAGCUAACACCAAAAAAA